GACGAACGCUGGCGGCGUGCUUAACACAUGCAAGUCGAACGGAAAGGCCCUGCUUUUGUGGUGUGCUCGAGUGGCGAACGGGUGAGUAACACGUGAGUAACCUGCCCUUGACUUUGGGAUAACUUCCGGAAACUGGGGCUAAUACCGGAUAGGAGCUCCUGCUGCAUGGUGGGGGUUGGAAGGUUUCGGCGGUUGGGGCUGGACUGGCGGCUUAUCAGCUUGUUGGUGGGGUAGUGGCAUACCGAGGACUUGCCGGGUAGCCGGCCUGAGGAGGUGACCGGCGACAUGGGGACUGAGAGACGGCCCAGACUGGAACGGGGGGCAGCAGUGGGGAAUCUUGCACAAUGGGCGGAAGCCUGAGGAAGCAACGCCGCGUGCGGGAUGAAGGCCUUCGGGGAGUAAACCGCUUUCGCCUGUGACGAAGCGUGAGUGACGGUAAUGGAUAAAGAAGCACCGGCUAACUACGUG
rnacentral:rRNA from 1 species